rnacentral:misc_RNA from 1 species
AAACCUGUCGAUCCUGAAGAGGAACUACGAUGGAUGUCCCAAGAAGUUCGUGGCUAUGUUGAAGCUGUCUUGAACAGUUUAGCUGCCAAUGUUCCAAAAGCAGUUGUACUUUGCCAAGUUGAGAAAGCCAAGGAAGAUAUGCUAAAUCAGUUGUAUAGUUCCAUCAGUGCUCAAAGCACACCAAGGAUAGAGGAGCUACUUCUCGAGGAUCACAAUGUAA